AGUCUGGUGCCAGCAGCCGCGGUAAUUCCAGCUCCAAUAGGAUAUAUCAAAGUUGUUGCAGUUAAAAAGCUCGUAGUUGAAUUUCUGGAAGGUAGAAGUGUUUUUUUUAGAGAAGCAAUUUUUUAUGAAAAGCACCGCUUUCCAUUUUGUGGAUUUCUGUUUUGUAUGAAGAUAGUUUACUCUAUUUUUGUAUAAAAUACCACUCCGUCACUGAGAGCAAAUUGGAGUGCUCAAAGCAGGCUUUAUUAGCUUUGAACAUUUUAGCUUGGAAUGACAAGAUAUGACUUUUGUUUUAUUUUGUUGGUUAUGAAAUAAAAGUAAUGAUUAACAGGAACAGUUGCGGGGGUACUCGUAUUGAAAGGUCAGAGGUGAAAUUCUUGGAUUCUUUCAAGACGAACGACUGCGAAAGCAUUUACCAAGGAUGUUUUCAUUAAUCAAGAACGAAAGCUCGGGGAUCGAAGAUGAUUAGAUACCAUCGUAGUCCGACGCCAUAAACGAUGCCGACUCGGGAUUAUUUUGUUCGUUUACAUUAAAAAAGAACACAAAGUAGCACCGUAUGAGAAAUCAAAGUCUUUGGGUUCCGGGGGGAGUAUGGUCGCAAGGCUGAAACUUAAAGGAAUUGACGGAAGGGCACACCAGAGGUGGAGCCUGCGGUUUAAUUUGACUCAACACGGGGAAACUUACCAGGUCCAGACAUGAUGAGGAUUGACAGUUUGAAAGCACUUUCUUGAUUUCAUGGGUGGUGGUGCAUGGCCGUUCUUAGUUGGUGGAGUGAUUUGUCUGGUUGAUUCCGAUAACGAACGAGACGGGGUGAAUUUACUAGUUUGUUAUAUAAUUUACGUUAUAUAAGACUUCUUUAUUCGACAACUUGGUUUUACCAAGAGGAAGCGCCCCGCAAUAACAGGUCUGUGAUGCCCUUAGAUGUUCUGGGCUACACGCGCGCUACAAUGACGAAUUCAACGAGUUUAAAUUAAUUCCUUAUCCGGAAGGAUGUGGGUAAUCUUUUCAAUAUUCGUCGUGAUGGGGCUAGAUUUUUGCAAUUAUUAAUCUUCAACGAGGAAUCUCUAGUAUGUGCAAGUCAUCAGCUUGCGCAGAAUGCGUCCCUGCCCUUUGUACACACCGCCCGUCGCACCUACCGAUUGGACGAUCCGGCAAGAUGUUUGGAGUUGUUUUGAUUGUAGAGUAAUUUAUGAUGAAAAUGACAAAGCUCUUCAAACCUUAUCGUCUAGAGGAAGGUGAAGUCGUAACAAGGUCUCCGUAGGUGAACCUGCGGAG
rnacentral:rRNA from 1 species